ensembl:lncRNA
AUGGGGGGAGUGAAGAUUUCGGGCUGUGGGGUGUCCACAUCAACCUCCCUGUGUCCCAGCUCCUGCAUUCCCAGUGGGAAUGAGGUGGGGGAAGCUGGGAGGGACAUUUUGCUGCAGUGGAGAUGGGAUGUCCCCGCUCAGGGGGGGACAUCGGGGCGUCCCCAGCACCUGGCUCAGCGUGGCUCUCCCUCCCUGGGGUGCUGCAGCCACCAAAAGCCACCAGCCCUGAGGGUCCUGGCCCUGGGGGUAUCAACCCCUCCCCUCCCGGCUCCUCCUUGUGCCCCCAUCGGCUCCAAAAUGUCCAAGAUGGGUUUAAAAUCCAGCCGGGAUUUACAGGAGCAGCCGCGCUCGGCCUGGAAGCGGCGGGGGGGGGGGGGGGGGGGGGGGGGGGGGGGGGGGGGGGGGGGGGGGGGGGGGGGGGGGGGGGGGGGGGGGGGGGGGGGGGGGGGGGGGGGGGGGGGGGGGGGGGGGGGGGAAGGAGGACGGGACUUGUUUAAUCCCGUCCCUGCGCCAGGGCUGGAGGCCCUGCCCGGCUCCUUCCAGCAGGGACGGAUCCCGCGAUCGCGACACCGCGGGGACACCGAGGGGACUCGCGGUAAAGCGGGGAGGGGGCGGGAGGGGAUGGCAGGAACGACCCGCGGGUUCGGGGGCCGGAUCGCGCCCCAUUCCCGAUCCUGCGGGAUGCUGAGGCCGGGGCCGGGGAUCCUGGGGGAAGUUCCCUUUGCCUUUAAAUGCAAAUCCCGGGCUGAGCGGACCGUGUCCGCCGGGAUCGGGGUGUCCGCCGGGAUCGGGGUGUCCGGUGGGAUCGGGGUGUCCGCCGGGUCCCGGAGGCCGGAGCGGGCCUGGCUCAGGUCAGUCCCGGCCGUGGCUCUCCGGACAGCGGCCGGAGGCUGCGGACAAAGGGACAAAGGGGACAAAGGGGCUCCGCAGCCCCCGGAGCUGCCCCGUCCCGGCGCCGCGCGGGGCCCGGGGGGGCUCGGCGGGACAAAGGGGUGGGUGACGGUCCCCACGCGGUCCCGCUCUCGCCGGGGUGAUUCGGGGCCGAAAUCCUCUUUCCCAUCGAGAGACGGGGCCGGGCCGGAGCUGCGGGGGGGGGGGGGGGGGGGGGGGGGGGGGGGGGGGGGGGGGGGGGGGGGGGGGGGGGGGGGGGGGGGGGGGGGGGGGGGGGGGGGGGGGGGG